AGACACUCAGACCAAAUCACGGGUAUUAAAUUCAGUCUUAUCUUCGGGACUUGAAUAAUUUUUGUAUAAUCCGUGAGCGCGUUUGUGCUGCGGUCUUU
rnacentral:sRNA from 1 species